CUGGAAACUGCGUUGACUUCGGAAUACUAUCAUAGGGAGCCUGAGUGGCUCGGUUGGUUGAGCAACUGCCUUUGGCUCAGGUCAUGAUCCUGGAAUCUUAGGAUUGGGUCGCACAUUAGGCUCCCUGCUUGGUGGGGAGUCUGCUUUUCCCUCUGACCCUAUCCCCUCUCAUGCUCUCUCUCUCUCUCAUUCUCUCUUAGAUAAGUAAAUAAAUUCUUCAAAAAAAAAAAAAAAAAAAGAACUCUAUCAUAGAUAAGCCUUGAACUCUGGAGGAAGGGUUUCUGAGGUUUGCUGACAAAUGAGGAGAGGAGGAAGCAUGGUGUAGUAUUACCAUAGUUUGCUUCUGCUGGGUUGGUUGCGGAGAGAAAAGCAACAAUACAUCUCAGAGGUGAGAUUGGUUUUCUUGUUUCACAUUGUUAGAAGUAUUUUACUUCAAGGACUCUAAGUCCUCUGCUAGGUAUUAUAUUUAAUAUUUAUUUUAUUCAACACUUGCACAGAUGCAUCACAAUUUGUUCUCAGUCAACUAAACUAUUACUCAAGGUUGCAGAUGUAAACGGCAGUGGUCGAAAAGAGAAAUAGUCCUGGGUUUAAACCUAUGAUGUGGGCAGCUCCAGAAUGGAAAGGAAAUGCGGAAAAUACAUAGUAACCAUGAAACCCUUUAGAAACCAGCCUUUCCGGUGGCCAUUCUCAAGUCUAGGUGACUGGAAACUCACAGCGCAGUUCAUCAGUUUCCACCAUCAGUUGAUGUCAGUGAUGAUGCUGGCACACAUGUCACCAGCACCUGCGGACUCCUGGAUGCUCAUGAUGUCCAAAGGGAGACCUCUGUCAUGGACAGAUCCUUCUACAGAGUUGACUACAUGACCAGCUGUGUUCUUACCACAUGGCACGUAUUACUUGAUUCUGGCCUCAGAAGAGCCCUGCGACAAAAGCCCUGCAGCCAGGCUGAUGGCACAGGCUCAGGGGUUUGAAUGGAGUGACUUCACUCACUCGGGAGCCUGGCCCAGUGUCCACUGCCUAACUUGUUGAUGGUUUGGAAGUUACAGCACUGUUUGAUUUGCACAAAGCUCCAUGUUUGUCCUGUAAGUCAGGUGUCUUUAUUACCAGCAUCCCACAGACAAGAAAACACACACUUAGAAAGGUUAAUGUAAUGGAAGCAGCGAACAGGAGCUGGACUCCAACGAGGACAGUCCUGGCCCAAAUUUCAUGCUGCCAGAUAGUAAAUCGAGUUGAAAUGUUAGCCAGGAAACAUGUCGGGAUCAAUACCGGAAGGCUCCAAAGAAGCCUAUUAGUGGGACCUGUCAGGUACUAUCAGGAUUAGAAAGGAGGGGAUUUUAUUCAACCUUUUAGUAGUCCUCUGAUAUAGGCAGCCUCCUACAUUUGUCCUGGUUUCACUUUGGGUAGAUGUAAAUGUUUAACAAAUUUCCAUCAACUCCUUUUUAAAUUUUUUAAUUUGAGAGGUGUACAUCUGAGAAGUUUCUUUUUCUAA
rnacentral:lncRNA from 1 species